CUUUUACUUUUUUCCAUAAUGCAUUGCUUCUUGCACAUGGCCUGAUUCUCCAACAAUGUGCUCAGCAGUUUGCUGCGCUGAGGAUGAUUUAAUCCGCUUUUUUCUGCAACCAUCCUAAGAUUAUUUAGCACACCCACUACUGGCCCACGAGAUCUCACGGUGUUCAUCUUUGGAGACAGUUCAUUGUCAACAUUAAAGUCAGACAUGACAGAGACAUCAGUA